AGUAAUAGGAUAACUAUAUUUGGUAUGUGCGUACCUUGUAAGGUCCUUGUGCCCGUCAGACAGUUUUCACUUGACCUCGACCUCAUUUCAUGGAUCAGUGAACAAGGUUAAGUUUUGGUGGUCAAGUCCAUAUCUCAGAUACUAUAAGCAAUAGGUGUAAUAAAUUGGGUGUAUGGAAGGACUGUAAGGUGUACAUGUCCAACUGGCAGGUGUCAUCUGACCUUGACCUCAUUUUCAUGGUUCAGUGGUUAUAGUUAAGUUUUUGUGUUUUGGUCUGUUUUUCUUAUACUGUAUGCAAAAGGUCUACUAUAUUUGGUGUAUGGAAUGAUUGUAAGUUGUUCAUGUCUAGCUGACAGGUGUCAUAUGACCUUGACCUCAUAUUCAUGGUUCAGUGGUCAAAGUUAAGUUUUUGAGUUUUGGUCUUUUUUUCUAAUACUAUAUGCAAUAUGUCAACUUUAUUUGGUGUAUGGAAAUAUUUUAUGAUCUAUAUGUCAGUCGUGCAGGUUUUAUUUGACCUUGACCUCAUUUUCACGGUUCAUUGCUCUGUGUUAAGUUUUUGUGUUUUAG
rnacentral:lncRNA from 1 species